UCUGUUUUUUCUUUCUCCCCCGCUACACAUCAAACCUUCUCCGUCAUUCUCCCUUUUCUCAGGUGUCAACCACUUCCCCCUACCAGCCUUUGGCAAUGCCACUCCGCCUUCAUAGCCUCCAUCCUUGAUUCCUCCCCUUUCACUGUGCUCGAAAUUCGUGCUUGAUUUAUGUCCAACAAUGUUUCAGAAGUAGGAUCGCAUGAAGCCCACUGAUCCCACAACCAGAAAAAAAGGGGUGCAUGUAAUGUGUAAAAUUAAGAUGGAAUAGGACAAUGAACCCAAAAAAUUGGGAAGCCAUGAUUACGAGGUCCAAUUUUUUCUUGACCAUCGGGUUUCUGUUAGAAAAUCCAAAUCCCCUUCUUCUUUUCGCCAAUUCGCAUUCCCAUCAUCUCCUAAAUUUCUUGUAAAAGACUAUAAUUGCUUCAGUGAAGGUACAUGUUUAUGAUA